rnacentral:sRNA from 1 species
AGAACCAACAAGAGAUCACCUGCAGAUUGGAGACUGAAGAAGCUGGUGGUGUAUUUCAAAAGCCUGAGAGGCAGAGGUGAAUGGUGUAGAUUUCAGUUUUAGUUCGAAAGCCUGAAAACCGGGAAUGCUAAGGGCAGAAGAAGGAAUGUUCCAGCUCAAGCAGUCAAGCAGAAGAAAAAAAUUCCACUGAUUUUAUAUCUCUUUGCUCUGAUUUCCGUGACAUGGCUUUGGGGAGGACUACACAUGGCCUACAGACACUUCUGGAUGUUGGUUCUCUUUGUCAUUUUCAACAGUCUGCAGGUGCCACCUGACUGGGAGAGAGCAUCCUUCCAACAGGGCAGUCAGGCCAGCCCUGAUUUAAAGCCAAGUCCACAAAAUGGAGCCACGUUCCCGUCCUCUGGAGGAUAUGGCCAGGGGUCACUGAUAGCCGAUGAGGAGUCCCAGGAGUUUGAUGAUUUAAUAUUUGCAUUAAAAACUGGUGCUGGUCUCAGUGUCAGUGAUAAUGAAUCUGGUCAAGGCAGCCAGGAGGGGGGCACCUUGACUGACUCCCAGAUCGUGGAGCUCAGGAGGAUACCCAUCGCCGACACUCACCUGUAGCACCUCACUAACCAUUCGACUGAGCACACUUUCAUAUUUGUAUCAGCUUUUGUGCUAAAACUCUCUAAGUACAUCCACCUGUGUAAUAGGAACCUGUGAACUGUACUGGAUGAUUAACACAAACGUGAUUGUUGUAUUUGGAGUAUAAAUUACUGAUUGUAUGUGACCUGAAAAUUCACUGCUAUAAGAAAGGUGGAGUCAGUUUGUAUCAGUUAAUAGGAUGUUCAUAUUCCAAGGAUAUUAGUUGUUUUUUUAAUCAUCCUAUAUGGCUAACAUUGUUUAAUGAAAGUAAUAAUCAAUAAAGCAA